rnacentral:lncRNA from 1 species
CCCCGAGGACAUGACCUUACACUAUUAUCCUCCGUCGCAGCCACUAUCCUCUAACCGACUAUGGAGAAUAGUGACGCACACACGCGCUAUAGCGGAAUACGCAAAAGGAUGCAAACUAGAUAGCAACAGAGUAAACUUCGCAUGAAAUGCUAGCUAAAAUACGUAAAAAGGUGUACAAAGUAAACAAGAGAGCGAGAGGUACCAACUCCCGGUGGAAAAAACUGAAAGUAGGCUUUGAUGCGCCCAAGGUCAACUGCUACCGACUCUUGCACGUCCCGGCAGGUGUUGCUUAGCUCUUCACUCCCAAACGCCGCCAACUGGCCUCGCCGUCGCGACUAGUACCUAGGGCAAGNNNNNNNNNNNNNNNNNNNNNNNNNNNNNNNNNNNNNNNNNNNNNNNNNNNNNNNNNNNNNNNNNNNNNNNNNNNNNNNNNNNNNNNNNNNAGCAGGCUUUGAUGCGCCCAAUGUCAACUGCUACCGACUCUUGCACGCCCCGGCCGGUGUUGUUUAGCUCUUCACUCCCAAACGCCGCGAACUGGACUCGCCGCCGUGACUAGUACCUAGUGUAAGUUUUCCUGAAGCUUAUCGGAACGUGUAGUUCUGUUGUGUCCUGCCGAAAGGCUGAACUUGUAGUCGCCGGAACUAUUGUAGCUUGCCGAAAAUCCUUGCCGGAAAAAUAAGGCACUUGUCCAAGAAAACAGAACACACCCACACACACCCACAAAAAGCAGAAGAGAGAAUAGGAAGAAAAGAGCAGGGGUCGCCGGAUGCCAGCGAAAAACAAGAAUUCAAAAAACCUAGAAAACUCGAAACAAAACAAGCUUGAGAUACCCAAAUAAAGGCUAAAUCGGACAGACUUGUGCUAGAAGAAGCAAAACAUCAGUAAGUUUCAAAAAUCCAACUUUAAACCCCACAAAAUGCAACCAAGAUAUUCCUGGACCCAGGAACAAACAAAACCUUAAAAAUUCCCAAAGUAAAAAAACUGAGAUCUUUUUCAACAAGAAAAGCAAGAAUGAAAAAUGGGAAUCUAUUAGGAAACCUAUAUUUAUAGUACACCCCCAAAAGUCCAAAAAACAGUAAAGUACUACUACUACACAACUGUUUUUUUUCCUCAAAUAGUGAGAAAAUAGAAUUUUAUUUCUGUGAGUAGAUUUCACUGCAGAAACAAACACUUCACAGUUACAGUAGAGAAACCACACGUCACUUUAUGAACAGUAAAAUUUCAAUAUUCAAAAGCUCAAACAUCACAUUCAACAAAAAAAAUAAAAAAUAAAAAGAAUUUAAAAAAAAAACAAUGGUGUUAGAUAAGUGGAAAAUGAGCUAAAGAAUUUUGUGUCACCUAAUUUUAAGAUCUAGGGGAGCUUAAAAUGCAAGGUAAAAAGCACCUUGAGAAUCUUUAGAAAGAAGAGGAGCAGGUGACAGAAAAGACAAUGGCUGUUGCGUAAAAUAGCAGUCUAGAUCUAGCAGCACAGAGAUCAAAUUUAAAAGAGAAACGAAGCCAAAUAAAGGCUGGAAUCAACAGACUUAUAGCCCAUACCAACAAUUUCCAGCAGCAAGAGUAAAAAAUCCGAGUUCAAAAGCAGACUUGAAAAUGAAACCCAGAAGAUGUAAAGAACGCAGCAAACAAUAACAACCUCUCACAAAAACGAUGGGGGUUGCCUUACUCGGGAGAGGGGGCUACCUGGAAAUUGGGAGAGAGGGGAGAGAGAAAACUUACCUGUGGGGGUCGCCGGAGGGGAAGGAGGUCGCCGGAGGUGGGAGGGUUCGCCGGAGGGGGGAGAGGGAGGAGGAGGGAUGGGGGGAGGGGGCUGGGUACUUUAGUGACCGUUGUGAGCGUGAGAGGAGAGAGAGAGGUGAAACUUGAAGAGGUUGAAUCAAGAAAUUGAUAUAAACUCGUCUAUUUCUCAUUGGUGGUAAAUGAAGGAAAACCACCUUCAGUUUAACGAACUUUCGUUUGUUAAUUUUUUUCGUCUCCAUUCUGCUCUAAUCUCUUCUCUACAGGAAAAUGAGUCGACUAAUAUCAGACUUUGUCAACUAAUUUUUUACAAUUAGUAUGAUAGAAUAUAUAAACAAAUUCCUUUUCGGAUUCCUCAUAAAUGAGGGAAUUCGGAAACAUCAG